rnacentral:lncRNA from 1 species
GAGGAAGCGGUCCUGGCAGAAACUUCACAUUGAAGCAACUCUGGGAAAUUUUUCAUGACGCUGAAAACACAAAGGAUAAAAUGUUGGGAGCUGAUCCAGUCUUAGAAAGGAGAACAAUUCAUCACGUCAGAGAAAAGAUGCUCUCUCCAUGUCGUAAGUUACACAAGAAGGAUUCACGAUAGACAAGAUAUGGAAUCAAUCUGUAACCAUCAACAAAUGAAUAAAGACGCUGUGAUGUAUACACAAAAUGGAAUACUCUACAGCAGUCCAUUGUGAAAGAGAAGGAAUUCCUGUCAUUUAUCACAACAUGGGUGAAUCUAUAGGACACGAAAAAAGGCUGGGCGUGGUGGAUCACUUCUGUAAUCCUAGCACUUUGGGAGGCUGAGGAGCUCUGAGGAGUGAAUCCACAAUACAGUUCAAAGAGAGAUUUAAAUUGCUAAUUUCCCGGCACUGGAAUGUGGGGAAAGAUUGUCACAGAUUUAGCAUGAAAGCCAUGUAUUUAACAUUCCUAUGUAAUAACCCUCUCUUAAAUUGCAUUUUGGUUUGAGAAACAGCAAGAACAAGGAAGCCAUCCCCAGUGGAAGCUUCAUUCUCAGGGAGGUAGCAAGAUGGCUGUAGCACUUCCAGAUCGCAACAGAAGCAUGACUAUUUUGAGGAAAAAGAGAGA